rnacentral:misc_RNA from 1 species
GAACGCACCUUGCGCCCUUUGGCUAUUCCGGAGGGCAUGCCUGUUUGAGUAUCAUGAAUAUCUCAACUCCUCACGGUUUUCCCGUGACGAGCUUGGACUUUGGGGGUCUUGCUGGCCUGCAGGUCGGCUCCUCUCAAAUGAAUCAGCUUGCCGGUGUUUGGUGGCGUCACAGGUGUGAUAACUAUCUACGCUUGUGGUUUUCCGCCAGGUAACCUCCAGCGAUGGGGGUUCACUGGAGCUCACAAACGUCUCUCCUCGGUGAGGACAGCUCUUUGAACGUUUGAUCUCAAAUCAGGUAGGACUACCCGCUGAACUUAAG